AGGAGCUAUGGGGGAAGAAGCAGUCUGAGGUGAUGUGCUUUCUUCUGAGGUUCUCUGCUGGCAACAUCACCAGCUCUCUGUGCUGCACAGGGCUCCCCAACCCACCCAGUCAGAUAAAGCAUAAAGACUGGGAUACAAGGCUAAGCAAGUUUAUGUCAUUUACAGGAUUCGUGUCAGCUGUGAUAGUUGCAAACGCCCAGUUCCUAGGGGUACGACUUAAGGCAAGCCACCACAUGGUUUAAUGUGGUUAAUCACAGUGUUAACCAGCUGAAAUCUGCCCAAAGCCAUCAGUCUGUUGCUGAGGAGAGAGCUGGGUGCCAUUGUGGGGCUUUGAGCACCCUAUAUUCCUAUGAGGUUGUUGAAGAUAAAUUUAAUUUAUAAUUAAAUGAUAUAAAUUUUUUGAGGUUAUCCUCAUUGAUCCAUUCCAUAAAGCUAUCAGAAGAAAUCUUGACACCCAGUGGAUCACCAAACCAGUCUACAAGCACAGAGAGAUAUGUGGGCUACCUAACAUCAUCUGCUGGCCACAAGUUCCACCACACUAUUGGUGGCUCUAGCUGUGCAGCCUGGAGAAGGCGCAAUACACUCCAGCUCCACCAUUACCUCUAA
rnacentral:lncRNA from 1 species